rnacentral:rRNA from 1 species
UACAGAGGUCCCAAGCGUUGUUCGGAUUUAUUGGGCGUAAAGGGCGCGUAGGCGGUCGUGACAAGUCACUUGUGAAAUCUCCGGGCUUAACUCGGAACGGUCAAGUGAUACUGUCGGACUAGAGUACAGAAGGGGCAACUGGAAUUCUCGGUGUAGCGGUGAAAUGCGUAGAUAUCGGAAGGAACAUCAGUGGCGAAAGCGACUUCCUGGACCAGUACCGACGUUCAGGCACGAAAGCGUGGGGAGCAAACAGG